UGGGGGAUAUUGCACAAUGGGGGAGACCCUGAUGCAGCAACGCCGCGUGAAGGAAGAAGGUCUUCGGAUUGUAAACUUUUGUCUUGCGGGACGAAUAAUGACGGUACCGCAGGAGGAAGCCACGGCUAACUACGUGCCAGCAGCCGCGGUAAUACGUAGGUGGCGAGCGUUGUCCGGAAUUACUGGGUGUAAAGGGUGCGUAGGCGGAUUUGCAAGUCAGGUGUGAAAACUAUCGGCUUAACCGGUAGCCUGCACUUGGAACUGUGAGUCUUGAGUGGUGAAGAGGUAAGCGGAAUUCCUAGUGUAGCGGUGAAAUGCGUAGAUAUUAGGAAGAACACCAGUGGCGAAGGCGAUUCUCUGGACUGUAACUGACGCUGAGGCUCGAAAGCGUGGGGAGCAAACA
rnacentral:rRNA from 1 species